rnacentral:rRNA from 1 species
UACGGAGGGUGCAAGCGUUAUCCGGAUUCACUGGGUUUAAAGGGUGCGUAGGCGGGCAGGUAAGUCCGUGGUGAAAUCUCUGAGCUUAACUCAGAAACUGCCAUGGAUACUAUUUGUCUUGAAUAUUGUGGAGGUAAGCGGAAUAUGUCAUGUAGCGGUGAAAUGCUUAGAUAUGACAUAGAACACCAAUUGCGAAGGCAGCCUACUACACAGUUAUUGACGCUGAGGCACGAAAGCGUGGGGAUCAAACAGG